rnacentral:tRNA from 2 species
GGGCCUGUAGCUCAGUGGUUAGAGCAGGGGACUCAUAAUCCCUUGGUCGUGGGUUCAAGUCCCACCGGGCCCACCA